UACGUAGGGUGCAAGCGUUGUCCGGAAUUAUUGGGCGUAAAGAGCUCGUAGGCGGCCUGUCGCGUCGGCUGUGAAAACCCGAGGCUCAACCUCGGGCCUGCAGUCGAUACGGGCAGGCUAGAGUUCGGUAGGGGAGACUGGAAUUCCUGGUGUAGCGGUGAAAUGCGCAGAUAUCAGGAGGAACACCGGUGGCGAAGGCGGGUCUCUGGGCCGAAACUGACGCUGAGGAGCGAAAGCGUGGGGAGCAAAACGG
rnacentral:rRNA from 1 species